rnacentral:lncRNA from 1 species
CCCAAAGUGCUGGGAUCACAAGCAUGAGCCAUGGGGCCCAGCCAAAUGUUCAUAUUUUUAUUUUUAACUCCCGUGGUUCAACUUUGGGCAAGACAACCUUCUUUCAGUAUCAGUUUCCUGACCUGCAAAAUGAUGCUAUUAACCAAUUAAGAAAAUCGACUAAUAACUUAAGAGUUCUUGGGAAAAAAGUUUUCCUAUAUAUAGUAUGUGUGUUACCAUGCUGACUGUGACUUAGGGCCCUGGUAGUUUCUGUAGCAGGAGGCUGUAUGGGUCUGGGGGCAGUUGAGAAUGCUAGAGUCGAUGACUGGUGUGGAAAUUCCCAGGGGGUGGUGACUCUGUUUUUCACCUUGCCGUGUCCAGGCAGGCCAGAGAGAAUGAGUACUCAAGACACCUGGCCCAAACAUUCAUGAAGAAGACACCAAGUCAGAAGAGACUUCCUCCUUUGCAUGAUCCUGUAAGGACGGAAGAGCUAGCAGCUGUGGAUACUCCGAACAGACCAGUGAGGCAGAGCAGCAAAAGCAGCCUGGAACUGGAGGCGGCCAGGAGAGGAGCAGCAAGCCGGUGCCCACAGUCAGCCACGGCACCCUCAGCAGGCCCAUUAGGAGGAAUUGAGAAGCUUCUCCAGUGUUUGCCCUAAAAUCUCAAUCCAUUUUAAGUGACAGAAAGUGACAAAAAACACCCCAGAGGAAAAUACUGGGGCCUAAGGGAGUAAUCUCAGAACUCUUGUAAUAAUAAUAAUAAUAGCAGCCAACAUCUAAUACAUGCUUACUCUGUGCCAGGCCCUAUUCUAA